GGCUUCCGGCCUCGUACGUAUGGGCUACGCAUACGGCCCCGGAAGGUUCAUCCGCAAUUGUACGUUGACAAAUCAAGGGGAGCUAAACUGAAGGGCGUGGGAAGGCCAGAGAGACUGGAAGCCUCAGCUGUUGUGUGUGGAGAAGCUGUCAGCUUUCUAAGAGAGCAUGUAGCCAGCAAGCACAUCGUGGUGCUUUGGUACCAAGCUGAUACCACAGGCCUCAAUCUUUUUUUUGUGAAAAGGGAUCACAAGGAAAUGUGCUGAUGUUGAAGGGGGAAAGGUGGCGGGGGAAGAGAUUUGAGCAUCGAUGCCAUGGAUGUAACAGGAGAGCAGCAGCAGGACGUAGAGCACAAGCCGUUUAAACAGCACUUGGAUAAAGCUGCCAAUCGUGUGACUCCAGAAGCCGAGAGACAUGGUAGCUGGAAAUUUCCAGUUUGCACCGGCAAAAAGUUUCCAACAGUCUCAUGUACAUGGUAAAGUAUUUUCUUUUCCUGCUUAUUGUGACCUUUAGCUUCCAAGUGUUUCAGACCAUUUCCUUUGAACAUCUUUGCAUUGCUGUCUGUGGUAACAGCAGCACUGCUUCAGGAGGGAGGACAUUGCUGAAAUUUCGUUAGAGAGGUUUAGAACUAUUGGGAAUGAAUAGAAAAGUGUUUUCUGAAGGUGCUGCCACAUGGUUGUGGGAGAACAUGGAGGAGAAUGUGUCUGAGCAGUCUCUCAGCCUCACUUGUUCUACAAAACUUUGAUGCCCUGCUGUAAAACAACCUCAGGUACGGUGUUUGGUCCAGGACCUGAAUAUCAGCAUCUCUGGAAGGGAUGUUUUGGAGAAAAGCUCUUGAGAAUUUCAAGGCAAUUCAGAACUUUCACAGUAAAAUUUCAGUUGUGAAGGACUUCGACUUCCUCAAGUAUAUAUAAAUACACAGUGGCUGGAAUGAUAGUGGUAGUUUACAGAAUCAUAGAAUGGUUUGUGUUGGAAGGGACCUUGAAAGGCCCCCUAGUCCAGCCCCCCCUGCAGGAAGCAGGGACAUCUUCAACUAGAUCAGGUUGCUUACAGCCCUGUCCAACCUGACCUUGAAUGUUCCCAGGCAUGGGGCAUCUGCCACCUUUCUGGGCAACCUCUCUUAGUGUUUCACCACCCUCAUCAUAAAAAAUUUCUUCUAUCUAGUCUGAAUCUACCCUCUUUCAGUUUAAAACCACUAAGCCUUGUCCUAUUGCUACGGGCCGCACUAAAAUGUUUGUCCCCAUCUUUCUUAUAAGCCCCCUUUAAGUACUGAAAGGCCACAAUAAGGUCUCCCCAGAGUCUCUUCUCUGGGCUGAACAACCCCAAUUCUCUCAGCCCGUCUUAGAAGAGGUGCUCCAGACCUCUGAUCAUUUUUGUGGCUCUCCUGCUCCAACAGGUCCGUGUCUUUCCCGUGCCAAGGACUCCGGAGCCAGAUGCAGUGCUCCAGGUGGGUCUCAUGAGAGCAGAGGGGCAGAAUUGCUUCCCUUGACCUGCUGGUCAUGCAUCGUUGGAUGCAGCCCAGAACAUGGUCAGCUCUGACCUGUGAGCACAUGUUGCUGGCUCAUGUCCAUUUUUUCGUCCAAUGGUACCACCAAGUCCUCUGCAGGACUGCUCUCAACCCCUUACAUCCCCCAGCCUGUAUUGAUAUGGGGGGGGGGGGGGGGGGGGUUUGCCCAGACCCAGAUGCAGGACCUUGCCCUUGACCCUCAUGAGGUCACAUGGGUGCACUUCUCAAGCAGAGCACUGGGGGAAAAUGUUUUGGAGAGCCUUAACUCCAGUUAAUGUUAAAAUGGGUCACACACAAUGUAACUAGUGUAACAGGUUAGUUAAUGACUGGUCUUUCUCAAGGGGUGCCCUUGAAUUUGUCUGGUGCUGCUCUGUAAGACUUGUUAGCCUUGCUAGUACUCGGGUCACACUUCAGGUGCUGAGGAAUGUGACCACCCGAGUGUUAAAGCUGAUAACCUAAUAACUGCCAUCAUCCUGUGCAGGGUUGUAGGAGAGCAGCUACCGGGAGGCCACCUGGUGCCAGCACAAGCAUUCCUGCAGCUGUGUGAUUUAACCUUACUUUGGAGCUGCUCUGACCACAAGAACAGCCUCACAUAAAGCAGUACUUCACACGUUUCAGCCUGCUGCAUGCAUUCUCUGAUGUGACUCUUAUCUGAAGAGAGAGUGGGACAGGAAUGGGCCAUCAACAGAAGGAUGGGGAGACAAAGACUGUUCUAUUCCUUUGACAAUAGGUCCAGUUUAAAUGCAGAUCCACCAGAGCCAAGUGCUCUGUAGAACUUUGUUAUUCCGCGAAGGUUACCCUGCUGGUGUCUGUGCAAAAGGCAGUGGGGCUUGACACUUCACGGACAGCUGAGGCACUUAACUCUUGCCUUAACUGCAGAUAGUACUGCAACAUGAAACAGAGUGUUCCGUUAAGAAAAAUGGCAUAGCAUAAUCCCAAGGCCACUUUGCUUUUCUUUCCUUUCCCUGGCCACCAUUUCACAUGUAUUUCCAAAUUUUUAGUAGGAAUUUCUUUUUUAAAGCCAAAGGAGCUCCGUGAUGCAGUUGCCAGCACAGGCACACAAACCACUGUGCUAGUGGCAGUGACAGGUCUGCACAUUUGUCAGAGACAGCACCAAGAAUAUCUGAAGCCAGUGCAGCUCUGAGCUCUUUGUAAUGCAGAGCCAUUGUCUUAAUUCCAGUGACUGCAGCCUUCGUUUGUGAGCAUUGAACAUUUUAACUGUGAAAUGGAAAGGCUCUCCCUAGAUCAGAGCAUUAGGAGGAACAUAGUUUAGGCUUAGCAUUUCCUUUUUCUAACUGUAUGUUCUCUGUUAUGCAUGCAUAUCUCUUUAGUAAGGGGUUUAUAUAAAUGCAGGUAAAGCUUCUGGUGUUUUAAUGGAAGAUGUUGAUGGAAAAAAACCCGAGUUCACAGCACACUCAUGUUGAAUAAAUGUUUUAAAGGAGAGGCUAGUUCUGGUCGGCUCUUUAGCAUUCUGGCUUGGCUUGUGCUAGGCUGUGUGCCAGAAACACUUGAAGGGAGCAGCAUUCCUGAUCUUUGUUGAUCAUGUAGCAGCACUGGGUGAUCUGACUCCACCAGCUCCUAAAUAACAGACUGCGUUUUUUGAAGCAUGUUUAUCUUUGCAAAGGUGAAAGUUGAGAUCUGACUUCCUGACCAGUGUUAAAAUGCACCAUGGCCUCUGGCUACUUUAAGAUGAUAGUGUGACUUUGGACAAACCUGGUAGGAGCAAUACUGAAAUCAAGUUGUAAGUUAUAUUUCAUCCUGAGACUGAUGUUUCUGGCAUUACAUAAAGUAAUUUAAGUAACCAACCAAAAGAUAUCAGUUGCCUCCCAUUGCCCCUGAUUUCCAGCUCCCUUUGGGGGUGCAUGGUGCUGCUGGCAUUGUCAUAUCGCUGUAUGCAGGAAGGGCAGGCCAAACACACCAAACCCUGGCACUAGUGAUAGUCAUCUUGGUCGUACCAGUUGUUUGCAAACAUCCUGCUCAGGCUCUCCCCACAGUCUUUUCCUUUCCCUGUGCAUUCUCUGGGCAGCUGUAACAAGGCUGAUUGAUAGGCAGAGCCCCUGAGAGUUGCUAAGAUGAUGAUAAUUUCAUUAGGGAACUUGCAUUUGGUUUUAAGGCUUGUGCUUUGCUCAGUUGUUAGUUUGGAUCUGUUGUGCCUCUGUUUUACAGUAGUUAGAGGAGUCAUGUGUAUCAGGUGGUGACAGAGAUAGAUAACUGUGAAUUUUUCCUUCCUUGCCCCUGGGGUCUUGUUUUUGCCGUAGAUUAAGAACACAUUCAGAUGAAGACCAAAAUACCUGUUCUGAAGUAACCCCAAUUAUAUACUUUCAUUCAUUCUAGCAGUGGCUAGUGUAUGUCAGGAGGGGAAUUGCAGCAGUUUUAUCUAUCAUGUGCCCUACUGCAAGCAAGAGAGAAACCCAGGGGAUUUUCUUGCCAUUUUAGAUCUCAAUGGAAAUGAGAGGAACUCCCUUAUAAGCUAGAAUAAGGUAAACAGGUAUGCUUGUUAUCACAGUGUGAACUAUAUUGUUAAACUGUUUUUAUAUUACAUUUCACGAUCUGCAGAGCUUUGGACUUGAUUAUGUAAGUGUUCCCAAGAUAAUGUUCUAGUUCUCUUGGUCUGUUUUCCUUCUGGAUUUCCCUGCCUUUGCCACAUUGAGAUCCUAGUGUACUGAUCCCAGAUGGAUUUGGCUUUACGAGUCUGAGCAGAACCUAGCACCUGCUUUCACACAGGGCUGUGAAGGAUGGUCUGGGACAUCUGCCUGUUGCUUGGCAAGCCUGUUCCCCUUGUCCCGAGACUGCCUUGCUCCUUAGCUGCGCUCCCCAGUUUCCUAAGGCUGGUAUUUCCAUAGCUGCUUCUGGAUCUGGGAGGAAAGUAGAUGAUGCCCGUACCAGCGCCACCGAGGCAGCUGACAGCACGGUGCUCCCAUGACAGGGAGAGAAGUGGGUGCAACAGCCUGCGCUGUAGGUGGGGGGUAAGGGCACUGGCAUCUGGCUGUUUCCAGGAGGAAAAGGAGAAAGUCCGCAUCCUGGAAUCUGCCAUGAAUACAAAAAAGAAGAGCAAGUGCUUCAGAGUUUACUGUUAGGACGCACAGAGUAAGGGAGGACCUGUCUCUGUUCCAGAGCCAUACUCGGAAAAAUAUACAAAUAAUUAACUUUAAGCUCCUUACCUUGCCCCUUGGAUGCUGUGCAGUUGUUUGAGUUAUUAGCAUUUCCGUUUCAGAUCAAUAUGAUGCACUACAUCAAACAUCUCUCAUUUGGAAGGGAUUAUCCAGGCAUUGUGAAUCCUCUGGAUGGGACAGACCUCACUGCACACCAAGGUAAAAGGCACCUGAGAUAAAUCUCUUUUUAAGUGUCUGUAUUCAUAGGUGUCAGAAGAGAACAGGAGUGAAGUUCCCGGUGAUAUGGAGAAAUAGUGUGAAAUGGGGACAAUGGACAUCGAUUGUGACUGUGUAUGUCUGCCCAGGAAUGUGGGUAUGGUGACUAGUCAUGGGUGCGAUGUCUGAUCACAUAGGCACACAGCCUUGAGGAGACGCCUACAGUUUUGAGGAGACGCCUGCCCUUCUUCCUCUAACAAAGGGGCUAUUUAAAAAGAAUGAGAAAAGGAUGAGAGAUAUUCCAAUGCUAUCUAGAGGGAGGGAGUGCUACGUCUCCUUGCUGGAGAAGAUCCGGAUGGUCACAGAUGGUCACAAGAACAUGAAUCGCCUACAAACCUGCAAGACCACCACAUUCCAGGCAAAGGACUGAUAAGCUAAUUAACGUAUGAAGCGAGAGUAAGGGGUUUAGGU